rnacentral:lncRNA from 10 species
AGGUUGCAGUGAGCUGAGAUCGCGCCACAGCACUCCAGUCUGGUGACGGAGCAAGACGCCGUCUCAAAAAAAAAAAAAAAAAAGAAAAGAAAGGACGACUCAUGGGCGAUGUGGAGGAUUUGGGAGUGAAUGAAUCAAUUAUGAGGUACAAGUGGACCCUCAAUAUUUUACACAUGCCCAUGAACACUACUUAUUGAUGUUUUAUAAAUAGCUACAUUAUUACAUAUUCAUA